GAUGAAGAACGUAGCGAAAUGCGAUAAGUAAUGUGAAUUGCAGAAAUCAGUGAAUCAUCGAAUCUUUGAACGCACAUUGCGCCCGCCAGUAUUCUGGCGGGCAUGCCUGUUCGAGCGUCAUUACAACCCUCAGGCCCCCGGGCCUGGCGUUGGGGAUCGGCGGAGCCCCCCGUGGGCACACGCCGUCCCCCAAAUGCAGUGGCGGUCCCGCCGCAGCUUCCAUCGCGUAGUAGCUAACACCUCGCGACUGGAGAGCGGCGCGGCCACGCCGUAAAACACCCAACUCUUCUGAAGUUGACCUCGAAUCAGGUAGGAAUACCCGCUGAACUUAAGCAUAUCAAUAAGCGGAGGA
rnacentral:misc_RNA from 1 species